rnacentral:tRNA from 1 species
GUCCCCAUAGUGCAAUGGAUAGCGCUUUGGACUUCUAAUCCAAAGGUCGUGGGUUUGAAUCCCACUUGGGAUG